rnacentral:rRNA from 1 species
CAGCCGUAAACUAUGCGCGUUAGGUGUGCUGGUGACCACGUGUCACCGGGGUGCCGAAGGGAAACCGUGAAACGUGCCGCCUGGGAAGUACGGUCGCAAGGCUGAAACUUAAAGGAAUUGGCGGGGGAGCCCCACAACGGGUGGAGCCUGCGGUUUAAUUGGACUCAACGCCGAAAAACUCACCAGCAGCGACUGUUACAUGAAAGUCAGGUUGAUGACCUUACUAGAUUUUCAGAGAGGAGGUGCAUGGCGUCAGUGACU